rnacentral:lncRNA from 1 species
CAAAUCAACCAUUUAAACUAAUACCCAUGCAUUUCAUCUUCAUUAAACACUUCUCCAUCAUGAUUUCUUCACUUGUUCUCCAUCAUUCCAUCCUCAUUCCAUUCCCGCGUGAAUAGUGUUCUCCAUUUUUCUUUCUCAAAUCUCUUCAUCUUUCACUCAUUUUCUUGUUAAAAUCAAUCAUCCAACUCAUUAUUCAUCCAUUACUCUUUCAAUUUUCACUCUCAAAACUUGAUUUCAUCAUCUCUCCACAUAAAACCCAAAAUCAAAAACCUAACUACCCGUUUCUCUCUCUAUAUUUUCAAGCUUCCUUUAGCCCAUUUUUGAUCCAAUCUACAUCAUCUAUUAGCUUCAUUCAUCUCUAGGAUCGAUUUUCUUGGCUCAAACAAAUUCAUUUCACUCAAUUUUUGUAAACCCGA